rnacentral:rRNA from 1 species
GAGGAAACUUGUGCUAAUACCGGAUAAGUCUUUACGGAGAAAGCUUUAUGCACCAUUGGAUGAGCCUGCACUUGAUUAGUUUGUUGGUGGGGUAAUGGCCUACCAAGACUGUGAUCAAUAGCUGAUUUGAGAGGAUGAUCAGCCACAUUGGGACUGAGACACGGCCCAAACUCCUACGGGAGGCAGCAGUGGGGAAUCUUGCACAAUGGAGGAAACUCUGAUGCAGCGAUGCCGCGUGAGUGAAGAAGGCCCUUGGGUUGUAAAGCUCUUUCGUCGGGGAAGAAAAUGACUGUACCCGAAUAAGAAGGUCCGG